CUCAUUCACCAAACAAGAACAGCAGCAAGCAGCCACAACCGCAAGAUCCACUCAACAAGUUUCUCCAAACACACCAAUGGCCGUGAGAUUAUAUGGUCAUACCUGAAAUUCAGAGGGGUGUGGUGACCGCCAGUGUCUUCGAUUGAAGCCACGUUUUUCGAUGAGGCAAGUUGAAGCAUCCGGCGGCCGCUGGGAGGAGGCAAGAGAGUCCGCAGCUGCAGAAGGCGAGGCACGACGCAAGUUCUUCGCUCAUAACUACGCAGCGGUAAUGGAAGAGGACUGUAAAUAAGUGGAAGGUUCUUGACAAAUGAAUCCAUUAACAUUUGCCUGUGUCGCCUGGCGAGCAGAUUUGCUGUUUUAUGGAGCAGGAAAAAGGCAGCCAGUAAAUCUGAGGGUGCUGUAAGGGCGAGACGGCGAGAGCAGGACCGGGGAACACAUCUCCCAUGAUGCAGCACUUUAUCUCCCUCCCAAAUGGCAUCUUUAUCUGCUUAAAUGAAGUUUUGAUUCCUUGCCACAUACGGUGCCGCAAAUCACUUUUAAUACUGAUAUCAAGAGCGGCAGUAAAGUGGGCCCAAAGCCGUGGCCAGCAGCUUUAUUGUGGAACACACACGCACACACACACACACACACACACUCUGAGUCACCCCUCUUUGUUUUUGUGUGUACUCACUGACUGGACCGAGCGCAGAUGUCCACUUUAACUUUGGGACAGAGCAAGGCAUGUCUAAAGCUGGAUUUUUAUUGGCCCCCAGUAUAUCCUGUAAAUACCAUAAAUGCAUUAUUAUUGACACAUGCACGUGUUAUUAGAUUGGACACUGAGUUG